rnacentral:rRNA from 1 species
GAUGAACGCUGGCGGCGUGCCUAAUACAUGCAAGUCGAGCGAACAGACGAGGAGCUUGCUCCUCUGACGUUAGCGGCGGACGGGUGAGUAACACGUGGAUAACCUACCUAUAAGACUGGGAUAACAUCGGGAAACCGGAGCUAAUACCGGAUAAUAUAUUGAACCGCAUGGUUCAAUAGUGAAAGACGGUUUUGCUGUCACUUAUAGAUGGAUCCGCGCCGCAUUAGCUAGUUGGUAAGGUAACGGCUUACCAAGGCAACGAUGCGUAGCCGACCUGAGAGGGGGAUCGGCCACACUGGAACUGAGACACGGUCCAGGCUCCUACGGGAGGCAGCAGUAGGGAAUCUUCCGCAAUGGGCGAAAGCCUGACGGAGCAACGCCGCGUGAGUGAUGAAGGUCUUCGGAUCGUAAAACUCUGUUAUUAGGGAAGAACAAAUGUGUAAGUAACUAUGCACGUCUUGACGGUACCUAAUCAGAAAGCCACGGCUAACUACGUG